AGCGAACGCUGGCGGCAGGCUUAACACAUGCAAGUCGAGCGCCCACUUCGGUGGGAGCGGCAGACGGGUGAGUAACACGUGGGAACGUGCCCUUCAGUUCGGAACAACCCAGGGAAACUUGGGCUAAUACCGGAUACGCCCUUACGGGGAAAGAUUUAUCGCUGAAGGAUCGGCCCGCGUCUGAUUAGCUAGUUGGUGGGGUAAUGGCCCACCAAGGCUACGAUCAGUAGCUGGUCUGAGAGGAUGAUCAGCCACACUGGGACUGAGACACGGCCCAGACUCCUACGGGAGGCGGCAGUGGGGAAGUCUUGCGCAAUGGGCGAAAGCCUGACGCAGCCAUGCCGCGUGGAUG
rnacentral:rRNA from 1 species